UACGUAGGUGGCAAGCGUUGUUCGGAAUUAUUGGGCGUAAAGGGCGCGUAGGCGGCAUGUUAAGUCGGCUGUGAAAGCCUGGGGCUCAACCCCAGAGGGUCGGCCGAUACUGGCAAGCUAGAGUACGGAAGAGGUAGCUGGAAUUCUCGGUGUAGCGGUGAAAUGCGUAGAUAUCGAGAGGAACACCUGCGGCGAAGGCGGGUUGCUGGGCUGACACUGACGCUGAGGCGCGAAAGCUAGGGGAGCGAACGGG
rnacentral:rRNA from 1 species